AACGAACGCUGGCGGCAUGCCUAACACAUGCAAGUCGAACGAGACCUUCGGGUCUAGUGGCGCACGGGUGCGUAACGCGUGGGAACCUGCCCUUAGGUUCGGAAUAACUCCCCGAAAGGGGUGCUAAUACCGGAUAAUGUCUUCGGACCAAAGAUUUAUCGCCUUUGGAUGGGCCCGCGUUGGAUUAGCUAGUUGGUAGGGUAAAAGCCUACCAAGGCGACGAUCCAUAGCUGGUCUGAGAGGAUGAUCAGCCACACUGGGACUGAGACACGGCCCAGACUCCUGCGGGAGGCAGCAGUGGGGAAUAUUGGACAGUGGGCGAAAGCCUGAUCCAGCAAUGCCGCGUGAGUGAUGAAGGCCUUAGGGUUGUAAAGCUCUUUUACCCGGGAUGAUAAUGACAGUACCGGGAGAAUAAGCUCCGGCUAACUCCGU
rnacentral:rRNA from 1 species